UACGGGGGGUGCGAGCGUUGUCCGGAAUCACUGGGCGUAAAGGGCGCGUAGGUGGUUUGAUAAGGGUGAUGGUGGAAAGUCCGGGGCUCAACCCCGGAUCUGCCGUGCCGACUGUCAAACUCGAGGACUGUAGAGGCAGACGGAAUUCCGGGUGUAGCGGUGGAAUGCGUAGAGAUCCGGAGGAAGACCGGUGGCGAAGACGGAUCUCUGGGCCCGUCCUGACGCUCAGGCGCGAAAGCUAGGGAGCAAACAGG
rnacentral:rRNA from 1 species